rnacentral:rRNA from 1 species
UACAGAGGGGGCAAGCGUUGUUCGGAAUUACUGGGCGUAAAAGGCUUGUAGGUGGCCACGUCAAGUCGGAUGUGAAAUCUCCCGGCUCAACUGGGAGGGGUCAUUCGAUACUGGCAAGCUAGAGUCCGGAAGAGGUAAGUGGAACUCCUAGUGUAGAGGUGGAAUUCGUAGAUAUUAGGAAGAACACCAGUGGCGAAGGCGGCUCACUGGUCCGGUACUGACGCUGAGGUGCGAAAGCGUGGGGAGCAAACAGG